AACCACAAAAAAACCCACAAAACAAUAGAAAUCAAUUCUCUCGCAGUUCUGGAGGCCAGAAGUCUGAGCUCAAGCUGCCCACAGGGCCGGGUUCCCUCCUAAGGCUCCUGGGGAGGACCCUUCCUGCCUCUUGGUGCUUCUGGAGGCUCCAGGCGUUCCUUGGCUUGAGGCCGCCUCACUCCCGUCGCUGCCUCUGUCUUCACACGGCCUUCCUCCCUGUGUGUCUCCUCUUCUUACAAGGACAGUGGCCGUUGGACUUAGGGCCCACCCUCAAUCCAGGAUGAUUUCGUCCAGAGGUCCUUCACCAGGAACAUCUGCAAAGCCCCUACUUCCAAACAAGGUCACAUUCAGAGGUUCUGCCUGGACGUGAAUUUUGGGGACAUGCUAUUCAACCCAUUGCCUGUGGCUGCAGUGCAUGAACAGGUGUCUGUGUGGCGUGUCAGUUGUAUUAAAAUGCAGAUCCUGGGGCCCCCUCGGUGCCACUGACUCGGAAUCUUGGGCGUGGCUUCCUGGAUUUCACUCACCAGGCACCCAGGUGAAGGUGAGGCCCUGCCGUCCGUCUUCCUGGGCCUGCCCUGUCCCCUGGGGAUUUACCCAAGUCCCAGGCCCCAGGACAGCCACCGUGCUGAUGAGAGGAGGGGGCGGGGGCCUGUCCCGUGAGCUCCCUCGGGACACACAUCAUGGGCUUCUGAAGAGGCUCCUUUGUUUUGGAGCUGGAGGCCAAGGAGGGGGAGCAGAGAGGGUGCGGAUCUUUGGUGUGACGGUGGCAGGGCCCCUGUCUACACCGGCUUCUGCUUCCCAGCCCUGCCCAAGACGUCUCACCGAGGGAGAGGAAGCAGCCCUCGCCUGCUCUGGCAUGGCCACUCGCUCCCUGCGACUCCCCCGUGGAUUUCUCUGGAACUGUGGCUGAGGGCUCUCAGGGGAACAGCCAGGAUCGCUUCUCCGGAAGCCCCCUGGGGUUUGGGCCCGGAGAGGGCAGAACACACUGGGGCUCCCUGUGGCCCAGAGGCCGCCCCUGGGACCAGUUCUUUCUCCUCCGAAGCCGGGUCUGGAGGCCCUGCAGAGGCGGCCGUCGGGCACCAGAGGCUGCCGUGGGAGUUUGGACAAGGCCUGGAAGGAACCGGAAAGAGCCAGAAGGAAAGGCACCAGGUAGCUCUCAGGGCCGUCAGAGGCGGCUGUGGCUUUCAAACUUCUCCCCGGCCUGUUUUCCCCUCCCUGCCCUUCAGUGCCCCCUCAAGGCAUUUCUGAGGAACACAGGUCCCCAGAAAGCACGAUCUGAAACCUCGGACUCCAGGGUUUUCUGGAGCCAAAAUUUUUCUGUGACACGAACCCUUUUGAGAAUCUGAUGAAAGCUGUGGACGUCACGCUUGAAUUCUGUUUCCACUUCCCGGCUCCUACGAGCCCUUGAAAAAACGCAGCCAUUGACCCCCGGGUGGGAAGCUUUCUCUGGAGUCUGUCCCGAUGCUACAGUUUUGUAAAGAGCAUCCCCACAGCGGAGACAUGUCACCAUGGCAACUGCCCAGCACACACUCGGGGUUCCAAGUCAGUCCCCCGGGACUUCUGGUCCACAAUGUGUGCCCAGGGGUCUUCCAUCACCACCAUGAGGAGGGGAGGGCAUCCUCACUUGGCCAUAACUAGUCCAUGUUAAUCCUUGACCAACAAUCCCGAAGCUUGAUGCUUGACGAC
rnacentral:lncRNA from 1 species